GAUGAACUGAAAAUUACUUCCUUGAUUUGCGCAACAAGGAAGUUUGGAAAGUUUGAUAAAAGUUUUCAUGAUAUUUAAGUGAGGAACAAGUAGAUUUUAUUGGCUUUAUUCAAGAGCUAACAAGUGACAGCUAUUGAUGCUUGACUUGCUGAUUUAUGAUGGACAGUUAAUGGUCAGACUAUUUAAGGAUUAUUAGCAUAAACAUGUAUGAAGACGACGAGGAAAUAUAUGAUGAUGCAGGGGAUACGGGAGAAGAUAUGAGUGAACCGAGCGGGCUCAGUGCCAUUAAGGCCCGGUUUGAGGGCGCUCAGAACAAAUUUGAAAGUAAUCCUGCCCCGGGGCUAAAACCGGGCAUCACCCCAAAACCCAAAGUCCUCCCAAAAUAUGGAGGUGGGGGUGGUCUCAACAUUUGCGGAGCUGUCGAUAAAAAGGAAGGAAGUAUACCAAAUGCAUUAAGACCUAAAAAUGCAGAAACAGAUAAACCUCAGGAUAAACCUUCUGAAACAAGUUCCAAUGGACCACUUAAGAAGAGGGAUAGUAAGGUAAACAUUCCAGAGGCCUUUCGGCAAAAAACAGAUGCCCCACCUGUUGAAACUAAACCUAAACCUGGUGUAAAGCCUUCCAAAUGGGGAAGUGAUUCUAACAAUAAUGCAAAAGUAAAUGGCAUUCCACCUGCAAAAAACAAAGACAUUAUAGAAAAUGCAAUAUCUCAGAGGAAGUUUGGUGUGGGAGGCGCAGUGAAGACUUCUAACUGGUCACAGUCCCCAUCAGGAAAUGUUUCCCCAAGGGAGAAAACUGCCGAUACAAACAUUCCAAAGACUGAGUCUGAUUCUCCAAAACAAAAGUCACCUAGGGGUGUUGGAACAGCAAAUGAUGUUUUAGCUAAAGUCGUUGCAAUGUCUGGGAGUCCAGCUGCUGAUUUUAAGGCAAAACUCAGACAUGUAGAACCAACUAAGAACAGUCCAAGUGCUGUGUCAGUGUCCCCAAUAAAACCAGUUCUUCGUAAGAAUUCCAGUGAUUCUAAUGAUGUCCCUUGGAGGAGAAAUUUGAAAAGUGCAAAACUUCGAGAAAGGACGAAAUCAGUCCGAACUGUGAUACGAGUUAUAGACGGGAAAAAAUUCCUCAAAAAUGAUGAUAGCUGUUUACAAGAUGACAGUCCACCUGACAAGCCAGAUAAAUUGGAUUGUGAUAUAGACAUUGAUGCUUUGGGAGUGGAGUACAAAGAAGCUAUGGAAAGUCUAGAUACAACAGAGAAGGUGCAGCAUGGCUGGACGGAGAUGGAAGAAACCUACGAUGACUGCGGAAAUCUACAGUCUACAAGAGCAGUGUCUCUAAUGGGCAAGCGCCCCAAACCUAAGCCACGAAAAAGUAAAAAAGUGCCACUUAUCGAACCAAUGACGGAGGAUGAAGAGCUCAGUGCAAGGAGUUGGGAGGAAGCUGGCUUUAAUGGGCUACCAGGCUCAGUGGACGAGCUGCCUGCUCCACCUCCAGAAUUGUUAGAUGAACAAGAAACCUAUGAUGAUGUUGGUGUAGCUGAGGUACCACCAGAGGAAGAAGAAUUACAAGAAGAUGAGAUGUACGAGGAACUGCCAGAGGAGCCAAUACCAGAGUCAUCUGAACCACCACCACCACCAGUAGGUCCUAAACCACCUGAGCUGCCAUCAACACCUUUACCAAAAACUCCAAACAUAGAAAGAUCUGAAAGUGAAAGUGACAAUAAACAAACUGCUCAACAAAUUGUAGACGCCAAGGAACAAAAAAGAAUAGAAAAGGAACGUAAAAAGAAAGAAAAGGAAGAAAAAAAAAUGUUAGAAAACAAAGAAAAGGAACUGAAGAAAUUACUGAAAGUGCUAGGUCAUAAGGUAACAGCAGAAAUACUGACUACCUCAGUGGGAAAAGGGAAAGUAAAAAGUAAUGCAAAGGGCAAGGAAAAGACAGGGGAGUUAACUGUUACCGAGGGAGAGGAAGUGGAUAUUAUACGUAUGAUAGACAAUCCACAAGGGAAAUGGCUUGUAAGGAUUCUCAGCUCACAAAAAGACAAGGAGCGUGGACCUUACAAUCCUUUGGAACUGAUUGGUUAUUGUGAUGAGAAGAACAUCGAGGUAGACACCAGUAGUAUACUGAACGAAUUGUAAAAGGGAAGCAGUAAUACUUGCAAUGCAUUGUAUAUGAAAGGACAGAAGUCUAGCACGUCUGUAGCACCAGCGGAAGAGGAACAAGAAACUUACGAAGAUGUCGAUGGAGCCGAGGAUCUGGAACAAGAUGAAAUCUAUGAAGAAUGUAACUGACAUAUUCCAGUACAAAUGUCUGUACCAGUGUGUGUUCAUAUAGCUAUAUCAGUCAGCUCUAUAUGUAUCCGAGGAGUCAAAGACUUUUUGAAACAGUGCUUCCUUUUGUCAUACUUGUUCUAGAUCCAUGCAAGGGGUGUUUGAAAAAAAUUGUGGCAUUUUAACGGUCGAAUAUUGAUUUAUUGCAUUCUUAACAAAUUAAGCAAUAUUGUCAAUAGAUACAUUGUAGCAUCUGUGUGGAAAAUAUAUUGUUUGAAUAC